AUUAGUAUAGAUAGUUUGGUUUAAUUUCUAUACUACAAAAAUAGUGUUUUAAAUAAACUAUUAAUA
rnacentral:tRNA from 1 species